CUUCCCUUCCCCGUGCCCUCCACGUGCCUGGAAUGCCGAUGGGCAGGCUGGGAUUUACCUGGAACAUGCAGUGACAGUAACAGCUCUACAUGGACUGGUUCAUGUAGUUAAGUUAUUACCACAUAAUUUUCAAUGCAACUGUCCUUGCUGCCUCCAGUGUUGUCCGACUUUUGAGCACCAAAGGUGUAAAAAAUGUCAGCCCUGGAAGUGUGGCUUGGUGAGCAGCGAGGUGCCGGCGUGCCAGGUGGGCUGACACGGAGCUGGAUCCUGCCUGGAGGCACAGUGUGACAGCAAAAG